CCCAACCCCCCUGGAAACGUCAAUGGUUGAAUACAAUAAAAUUUUUAAAAGUGCCCUUCGGUCGGCAUGAAUUGUUUGUGAAUAAAUUAUGAUUUAUAAUAUUGCAUAUUAGACAUAAGCCGCUGUCUAGUGUUUCCGACUUUUCGGACGGAUAGUAAAAUAUAAAAAAAUAAACUUGAAUGUGGAAUUUCACGCGAAAUAUUCUUAUUAUGGGAACACUCAUCUCUGCUAGCUACUCUUCAAUUGCAGUUUGAUCUUCCAUUUGGAGAUUUCGCUUCUGUUCUCAUUACUUUGUCCCAUCUCAAGUGAGGUUUUCAAAGAGGUGUCUUUCCUUCCACGAGUCUCUUUCUUCGUCACCAUGCGUAGAAGUGAAUUGUUUACUUUGUCACAUAGGCGUCCAUCAGUCCACUAUAAUUUUUAUACUCUCAA